CCAGACAGCCAGGAUGUUGGCUUAGAAGCAGCCAUCAUUUAAAGAAAGCGUAAUAGCUCACUGGUCGAGUCGGCCUGCGCGGAAGAUGUAACGGGGCUAAACCAUGCACCGAAGCUGCGGCAGCGACACUGAUGUGUUGUUGGGUAGGGGAGCGUUCUGUAAGCCUGCGAAGGUGUGCUGUGAGGCAUGCUGGAGGUAUCAGAAGUGCGAAUGCUGACAUAAGUAACGAUAAAGCGGGUGAAAAGCCCGCUCGCCGGAAGACCAAGGGUUCCUGUCCAACGUUAAUCGGGGCAGGGUGAGUCGACCCCUAAGGCGAGGCCGAAAGGCGUAGUCGAUGGGAAACAGGUUAAUAUUCCUGUACUUGGUGUUACUGCGAAGGGGGGACGGAGAAGGCUAUGUCGGCCGGGCGACGGUUGUCCCGGUUUAAGCGUGUAGGCUGACUUUCCAGGCAAAUCCGGAAGGUUAAGGCUGAGGCGUGAUGACGAGGCACCACGGUGCUGAAGUGACAAAUGCCCUGCUUCCAGGAAAAGCCUCUAAGCAUCAGGUAACAUCAAAUCGUACCCCAAACCGACACAGGUGGUCAGGUAG
rnacentral:rRNA from 1 species